AUGAUAGCAGACCAAGUAUUAAUAACACAGAAUUGACUAUCAACUACAGAUUGGUUGAAAUUGAAACCAUUUAGGUUGAAAGACAUAGUACUUGUACUUAAAUAAGUGAACCAAAUUCCUACUACAGGCCAAGCAACCAAGAAGUGUAAAGAACGAGCAUUGUUGAAACUAGCAUAUUUGAAGAUUAAUCGGCCAUAA
rnacentral:rRNA from 1 species